AUUGAACGCUGGCGGCAUGCCUUACACAUGCAAGCCGAACGGCAGCACGGACUUCGGUCUGGUGGCGAGUGGCGAACGGGUGAGUAAUACAUCGGAACGUGCCCAGUCAUGGGGGAUAACGCAGCGAAAGUUGUGCUAAUACCGCAUACGCCCUGAGGGGGAGAGGGGGGGAUCGCAAGACCUCAUGUUAUCGGAGCGGCCGAUGGCUGAUUAGCUAGUUGGUGCGGUAAAGGCUCACAAAGGCGACGAUCGGUAGCUGGUCUGAGAGGACGACCGGCCCCACUGGGACUGCGGCACGGCACAUGCUCCUACGGGAGUCAGCAGUGGGAUAUUUUGGACAAUGGGCGAAAGCGUGAUCCAGUAGUGCCGCGGGAGCGAAGAAGGCCUUCGGGUGGCAAAGCCCUUUUGGCAGGGAAGAACACUGUUUGGCUAAUACCCGAAUCGGAUCAGGGUACCUGAAGAAUAAGCCCCGGCUAACUACGUGCCAGCAGCCGCCGUAA
rnacentral:rRNA from 1 species